AUUAGUAUUAGUUAAGUUCUUGAAAAUUAAACAAUUUGGCGGUAUUUUAGACUAUUCAGAGGAACUUGUCCUAUAAUUGAUAAUCCACGAUUUAAUUUACUUUUUUUUUUAGUUUAUAUAUCGUUGUUAUUAAAAAUUUUUAAAAAAGAUUAAUUUUUAGAAUUUUAAAUUAAAAAAUAAAUCAAAUCAAGAUGUAGUUAAUAAAAAAGUAGAGAUGAGUUACAUUAAAUUUAUGAAAGGAAGUUUAUUAUUAUAAUAAAUUUAAUUUGGAUUUGAAAGUAAUUUAAAUAAAUUAAUUUAAAUGAUU
rnacentral:rRNA from 1 species